UGUGUCUAACUUCAUGUCACAUGGUGACUUGCCUUAAGUAAAAAACCUUGUAGUUAUGAAUAGAAUGAUCUCCUGCUGAUGCAGCUAGAGUUUCACUGUGUUGACAUGUUAUUUUACAGGACAACUUGUCAAUGAACAAGGAAUCCUUUUCUGAAAAUCUCACCCAGCUAAUAAACUGUGCGAAUGCGCCAAACGCUUACCCUUCAGAUAAAUGUGAUUACAGGCCAAAGGUCAAAUUGGUACCAACUGGGCAGCAUCCUCAGUCGUGUGGGCAGGUUCAUGAUGCACCAUUGUCUCAAUAUAUCUAUGAACAUCCUAAUCGCACAGUAUUAGUACAGCAACAUGACCUGCAAGGUGGGGAUGUGAAACAAUUAUAAAUAAAUCCCACAAAUCAAGGAGAGGUUAUUGUGUAAGUUGUUUAGUCAGAGGUGUGUUUUGUCGUAUAAUGUAAAAAGAUGUGUAUCAAACCCCAUGUACAGUUUUUUCAAGGCAUUUGAUUGGAACUUCAAUUGUUUGAAUCCCUUGCACUGUUGUUAAGUGGUCAUUUUGUGACAAAACUCUAUCUUUUCAUUGGCAAAGUCUCUAUUUUGCAUUGUAAUGAUGCACUGUCUCUAUAUCUCACCAAACAUUGGAAAUCAGGAGCUGUCUAAGAUAUAUUCUAUUCAGGGUUAUGACUACAUUUCGCCCAAAGUUGUGCUGUAACUUAUAUUAUAUUCAGGGUUAUAACUAACAUAGUGCCCUCAGUUGCGCAAAGUUGUUAAAAUAGUUGUGUCUAAAAGCAAAGAAAGCAUAAUAAUUUGUAUCACAUGCAAUCAAUCGUGUUCAUUAAGGAACCUUCGUGAAAUAUUAUGUUGCAUUAUGACAAAUUCCCCAGUAUGUAUGUCUUUCAGUUGUACGUUUUCAGUGUCUGGCAGUAUCCUAGCAACCAACCCACGUGGACACAGCAGCAAAAAUAGAAUCAGCAGCAGUCCUGUAAAGCAUCCUAGGGUGCCUAGCAAUUUAAUCCUCCACUAUGACCUUGUCCUUACCCCAGAACUCACCUGGUGGUCAGGUUUGAGAUCACAUCCGCCUGGGUGGUCAUGGCAGUAAGAAAGUAAAUCUGGAUAGCAGAGCGUUGAGUUGGUCUGGAAGCAUUUGCUGUCACAGUUCCAUGGUGCAGGACCAUCAGUCUAAGAACAUCUUGCAGAGCUAUCCUUUGAUGCCAAUUGAUGAAAUCAAACACCAAUCCCCAAUCCCAAACACAGCCUGUUGCAGCAGCUGUUACCAUAUUGACCCAGGUCAACCCUAAGAAGCUCAGAUACAGAUACUGUUUUAUAAAUGCUAGUGUCUUGGUACUUCGUGGUCUGUUAAGCACUAACUCUAACAAGUCUCUUCUUUGAAUUGUGUGGCGGGUGGACAAUGAAUUUCCUUGUUCUAAUUGAAAUGGCAGAAUGACAAAUCACAACAAUUUCAGUGGAAAGCCAGAAAGUCAUGUGGCCAGCCACGUUUUUUAUUUGACCAGCCAAGGUGUGUUAUGUGACCAGCCAAUGUGUGUUAUGUGACCAGUCAAGGUGUGUUAUGUGACCAGUCAAGGUGUGUUAUGUGACCAGUCAAGGUGUGUUAUGUGACCAGCCAAGGUGUGUUCAAAGAAAAACAUUAUUACAUGUCUCAUGGGAACUAUGAUGCUGUCAGUCAUUUAAUGUUAAAGGCUUUGGUUAAAUAUAGUAUGUAAAGUUGUAUUAUAAGCACACAUAUUGCACAUCUAUCCACUUACUUCAUCUGUAUUAUGAAACUUUCACUACAUAUUUUGAUACUGAUUAUGAUAAAUGAAUGGAAAAAAAAUACCCUAGAUUUUUUUGUCAAUGAUUUUAAGAUUGUCAAAUCUGUUCAAAUGAUGCAGGUAACUUGAACAAAAUUGGGGAAAAUUGCAUUAAUUGCAUGUAAUAAGGCAGUUUUAGGUUUAUGUGCUUUUGCAAGUAAUAAAAAUGUGCUUUUUAAAAGAAUUGUUCAGAAAUGUUGAAUUUUUGUAUGCUUCAGUUUUGAUCGGUCUAUCAAUUUUCUGAAUACAAUAUAUACUCAACAGUUAA